CCCUGUUGUAAAUUCAUGAAUAACAAUCUUGAACAAGAUCCAAGAGAGCUAGGAUCAAGCCAAAAACAUAUCUCUUGGUAGAGGAAAGCUAUAUGUCAAAGAGACUUUCAUUAUGAAACUUGACAAACUGUUUGACAUCCUCAACUGCAAGUGUCAAAUUGUUCUGUGCAUCGAAGUUGGCUGC